UGUGUUUGAGGUAGAACUUGCCUAUGGUGAUCUUCUCGAAGGAGUGUUUGUAGGACAUUUUUACAAUAAAGACACGAAAGUUCAUGCUUGGUUGAAAAUCGAAGGCAUAUGAUAUUAUUGUUGGUUACAAGGACCAAUGAACUACUUGCCGCACAAACAACAAUUGGAAUAUAUUGCAGAUACUAUGUGACAAAUUUUCAACUUCUUACAUUGAUACUAACUCGCAAUAAGAGUGCUUCUUGUAGACCUUGAAGCUCAAUGAGAGGAAUGAUGUCAAGGACAUACACUAAGAAAUUAUAGAAGGUUCUAGAGAAGCUUUGUAGUUUGUAGAAGCUACUUGAGAAGUUUUCAAGCUCAUAAAAGCUCCUUGUAGAAGCUGCUUUGGAAGCUUUGUAGCUUAUAGAAGCUACUUGAGAAGCUUCCUAACUCGUAGAAGCUAUUUAAGAAGCUUCAUAGUUUAAAAAAGCUACUUGAAAAGCUUCAUAGCUUAUAGUAUAUAUAAGAGCUGAGACUUAGAGGAUCCUCAAUCUUGACAAUACAUCUCUUUGAGCUGUAGCUCACCUCUCUAGUGUUGUUCUUGUAAUCUUCUAAUUAAUCUAGUUCUUGUCGAUUCUCCUUAAGUUUCUUGUUUAGAUAUCUAAUCAAUAUUCUAAAUUCAUGCCAACAUAUUACUACCAUGAUUUACAUUGGAAUUACGUGAGAUUUCCACUCUUAGAGUAUUGACAAUCUUAUGAAGAUCUACUAUAGUUGCAAAUCUAUUCUCACUUCCAUUGAAAGUAGCAUUCAUAAUCUUUCCUUCUAUAGACAACUCAAACAAAUUUAAAAGUUAAAUUAGAGGAGGAUAUUCAGUAACUUUUAAAAAUAAAUCCUAAAAAGAGGAAUAAUCCACUCUCUUUAUAAAAAAGAUUAGUGUUAAAUAACAAGAUUUUUUUGUUUAAAGGUAAAUAGUCCACAACCUUCAAAACACAACAAUAGAAGUGGGAUAAUCUACUCACAUAUAAAACAAGGCAGUACAAUAUGUUAGCACUCUUGUCAAACUAUCAAGGACAUGAAUUUCGAAGAAAGUGAAUCUACAAUACACUCUUCUAUCACAGAAGAAAACUAGAAAGUCUUUCAAAAAAUUAUAUAAUAUUAAUAACAAUGGCUAUUGCCAAAAAUAAGAAGACUAAAAUAUCUUGAAAUAAGACUAAGACUAGAAAGGCAUUGACAAGAGUGAAAAAGGCUUCAUUCUUGCCUCCAUAUAUACUAUCUAACUAAGAGCUACGUCGUGAUGACCUCUAAGACCUCUACCAUGUAUUGACUUUGCUAGCCACAUGUCUUAUCUUGUAAGGCAAGUUAUUUAUGUAUACACCAUGUAGUUGGCAUGUUCUACAAGCUAUUACACAAAGAUAACAUGUUCCACAAGCUAUUAAUACAUGAUUAGCUUUUUAGCCAAGUUUCUAAUCUACAAACACAUCUAAAGUCAAAAUCACAUCUAUGAAGCUUCUAGGAAGCUUUUCUAGAAGACUUUAAAAAUUAUUCUAUGUUUACCUACUUCUACUUAAUCAUAUUAGUAAAUAUUGAAAUAAAUGUAUAUGUCCAUGACAAAGGUACAAUUUGAAAUCCUUUAUAACUUUUAAGUACCUCUAAAUCCUCUUUAUCAUUCUCCAAUGUAAUGGUCGAUCCUUAGACAUGUGUUGGCUUAUGCCUUAUUAUCAAAUCUAUUGCAUCUCUUUUAGUCCUAAACACCCACUUGCAAUCAAUACUAGAUCAAUUUGCUGGAAGGGCUCUCAAUUCCUAUGUAUCAUUGUUCAAAAGAAAUUGAUACUCUUCUUCUAUAGCCUUCUCCUACUUAGUUGUAUCUUAGAACUUCAAUGCAUCACAUAAAGAAAACGGAUCAGCAAGAAGAGCAACAUUAGCAUAUUCUUCAUUUACUUGAAAAAAGAUAUGAUCCUUCACCAUUCACCACGUUGUGUGAUUGCUCGUUUUACUUAUUCUGGAAGAAACCUCUCAGCAUAAACCUGUAUAGGGAGAUUUAAAUAUGGAGAAUGACUAGUUGCUUAAGCGUUCACGUUAGGAUUAUACAAUUAAUUACCUCCUGAAUGUAUUGUCUCUAUUUUCAAUAUCUGAACACACAAGGAAACUAUAAUCUCCUCCUUCACUUUAUCAAUCUCUUGCUUAUAGCAAUUCAGUCAUACCAAUAAUUACUAUUUCUACCAAUAUAUUCACCCUCAUAAUCUCCAACUGUAAUACUAUGCCUUCACAGCUUUCAGCACAUAAUUACCUUCAUUCCAAUCACUGGAAUUCUUCACACAGAACUACCAUACACAUUACAGUGUUUCACACAAAUACAGACUCAUUCUCUUUGCUGAACUGCAAUCAGAUUUCAGCAUUCAAUCUUUUUUCUUCUCAAAUAAUACCAAUCACAUUUCCAUUCUAUAAUUCAAUUCACAAUAUUCAAAAACUCUCAAUCUUCUUAUUCAAAGAAAAUAACAAAUAAAAGAAAAGAGAUAGCACUAAGCUUACCAUGGCUCACACUAUCACAGCGAUGGCACCUUAAUUAACUUCUACAACUUCUAUAUACUUUCCCUUGAUUCUUCAGAUUCUAAUCGUAAUUCUAUAAUUAACUACUUUUAAAAACUAAAGCACUCAUCCAUCCUCCUGAAUUUCCUAUUAUAUAGACUAUUAAUAUAUUUUACCAAUAUCUUUCAAAAAUGAAUUUAUAUCUAUUCUACAUAGCCCCACUCCUAUCUGUGCACCAUCCUCGCAAAGACUCAAUUGAUACCUAUCUAAAAAUUAUUUAACAAAACUCGACAAAAAUUACGAUCCCUCUAGCCUAUCUAAUUCAUCAAUUGCGAUAGUAUCUAUUAUUGGUUCGACCGAUUCCAAUUCCAACUGCAAAUUUUCUUCCUCCUCCAAUCCUUCCAUCGGGUCAUGCCUCAAUUGAGCUGAAAGGUCUUCAUUGUACUCACCCAGUAUAUGGACUUGAGCAUCCAAUUUCACGAUAUGGGCAUCUCUCAAUUCCAACUGGUGCUGAAAGUGAUUCCUUUCUUCUGGAACUUCUUCAAUUGAUACUUGUGACUGGCUCUUCACUGUUAACUUUUAUUUGGACCUACUAAUCUCAAAAAUACAAGAAAUACAAGAAAAUGGCACUCCAGCCAAUCCAAAACAACACCACAUAAUGACUUUAACUGGUGCCUCCCUCCUAUUCUUUUACCACCUAGUGAUAAUGACAACAUGUUACCCAUACUGUCUGUGAAAGGUAAUGGAAAGUAAUCUUUCUUGGUGGCCGCAUUUAACUUUUAAAAAUCUUGACAUAUCCUGAUUUUUUUAUUUUUCUUCGGCACCAUCACGAUUGACGACACCCAUACACUAUGCGAAACAGGAUAAAUAAAAUCCAUGUCCAGAAGUUUAUCCAAUUCUCUUCAUCAUGAAGGAAUAUUUAAGAAUGAGUAAUGUUGCCUUUGACAAAUUGGCGUAAUAUCCUCCUCCAAUAUAAUCUGGUGCUCACAUACGUCGAUUGGAAUCUCUUUCAAAUCUGCAUAUGACCACGCAAAGGUAGAUUUGUGGCAGACGAAAAACUAUUUCUAAGCAUCCAAUUUUGUAUCGAUAAUACCGGCAUAUAUUUUAAUUAGCUGUGGCAUUUCGUUGGUGCCCAGGUUAAUAGAUUGACACACAAGGUCUUCAACAACCUUUGAUUUAAUUGUCUUCUCCUGAUCUGAAUAUCUUGUAUUAUCCGACAUAUGGAAACCACCCAAACCUGGUUCCAAUGUGCUGACUCUAUUGACUGUGGGAUUAUUCAUCCAUUCGACAAUAGCAUGAUCCGAGUUAGUCGCAUCCUCUUGAUGCAAUAAAUAUUUGCUAGGACUUCCACAUUAGUAGAUUUCUGUCUUUGCUGUUGAAGUGUUUUGUCCUACCCCAAAUUGUGGUGAACCUAUAGCAUUGUCAUCUGCCUCAAUCAAUUGACUCUCAUUUUCCGAUAUAAAUUUUGAUUCUACCAAUUGAGAUUCUCUAUGAUAUUGUAUCGAGUACAUCUGUAGAACAAUUUGGUCCCGGCCUUUUUCAAUUAUCAAUGUGCCUCGGCCCCAAUCGUUCUUAGCUUUGGCUUGAUAAAGCCAAGGUUUGCCUAAUAAAAUGGGAUACGGUAACAUAGAACUCUAUAAUCGAAAUACAAUAUAAUCGAUUUUGUAUGUCAAUCCCACGAUAAAAGUGGCAAUAUUGUAUAAGAUUCCCAUUCGCUUUACCCGACUAUGAUCUGCCAUUCGCAAGACCAAUGUCGUAGAUAGCAAUUGCUUUAGAUCCAAGUCCUCCAUUGUAUCCGUUGUCGUGUUGUAACACGAGUAUACCGUGAAAAUAUAAAGAAAGGGGACUUUUAUUAAUGUUCAGUUACCUCGAAUAUUGGGAGCAAUGAUCAACUCCAGUACAAAUACUGAGUGGCCAGGUUCAGUCACCCCGUUACAGUCAGCCGGGGCAUACUGAAAUGCUCCAUUCGAUUCCAAUAACGGGAGUCAGCAGGAAGAGAAAGGACCAAUUCACACGACGGGUGAGCUUGGUUCGAAGAGCCAAUUGGAUCCAAUUUCAAGAAUCCAAUCCGGGUCCUUUUACCCAAUAUGAGACCUGAAUUGGCCGGACAACCCACUGCAGUCUAAUUACAGAAAAAUCCAGGUCUUACUACAGGCCUCAGCCAAUCUGACGCGAAGGACCAAUUUGAUCCAAUUACGGGGACAUCCGGAUCUUACUACUGGACUCUUAGCCAAUAUGAGACCUGAAUUGGUCGGGCGACUCAAUGUGGUCCCGAUUACGGGGUUUUGAUUCUGUUUCAGGCUGUUCUGUUCUCUGUGCCGUUUCAGGGAACGUUGUUUUUAGUAAAAGGAUCUCUUAAAGGUAAAAACGGGGAAGAAAGCUCUGACGGCGAGAGCCAAUUUUGGAUCCAAGCUCUGGCGGUGUGAGCCAAUUUUAGAUCCAAGGCGGAAGAUUGAAGAAAUUCAGAGGAUAAGGUUAGGGGAGAAUAUAAGUUUUUGGAGAGGUUUUGAAGGAGGGAGAGAGAGCUAGCUUCAUGCUUCGGGCGGGGAAAGAAGACAGAGAAUUGGGUUUUUUUUCUUCAUAGGAUUUUGGGAAGACUGAGGCAAUCGUUGCUAAAGUCAGUGUUGUAAUGGCGAAUCGAGAUUUUUAAUGAAGUGGGUUUGAUUACUCUUGACUGUUUUGUGAAAUCGAAUUACGUCUGUGAUGAAGAGUUAAAAGGGUGUCUAUAGGAUUGAGUAUGUGGAGUGAAUGAAAUUUAUUGGGUUAAUCUAGCAAGACAGUCAGUGGAUACAAGAUCGUGAGUAUAAAGCGGUAUCAAAGAUUAGUAGUUUGGGUUGUUCGGGGUUCUCUGUAACGUCUAGAGACCUAUCAGCUAGGGCAAAAAGGACUUCGACAAGUAGUCGAAGGGCAUCCAUAUAGAUUUACGGUGUAUUCUUAUAGUUGUUUGUAUUCCAACAGUCAAAAACCAAUAAACUGCUUGAAUAUUAGCGAAUCUCCAUACUACCUUCUACAACCAGACGCCCGGCACGUUCUCGAGCAGGAAAGCACAUAAUAUGACAAAAGUGGUGAACCUGAUGUGAAAGCUUGACGUAGAAGGUAUUGGAUUUUGGUUGAUUUUAUCGUUGUUUUUUGGGAAACGAAAAUAAAAAUUUUGAAGGAUUUUUGGAAGGAGUUUCUGGUGGAGAUUCUUCUAAAGGACAAGAUAUGCACAUGGAUCCCUCUAAUGCUAGUAUGUUUCAAGCCUUCUCAUUAUCAAUGCAACAACAGCAAAGGAAUGAUCGAAAGGAAGCUUUGGCAACCAAAGCAUUGCAAGCAGUGGUCAAUAAAAUUGAUCAAUUUGAUGGAAGGAAUAUUUCAAGGUAUUUAAGAUGUUAUGUUCGUGAAAUGGAAUUAAAUUGGAUUUCUGAGAAGAAAAUGGUUGAAUUAUUUGGACUUGCCACGAUAACGGAGAUAAGAGACCACAUUACAUCGAUUACAGAUCAUUAUGGAAAUUCAUGGGAGGUUUUUUCACAUGCAUUGAAAGACAAAUAUUUCUUGGAAGAUGCUGAUCGCGUUACUAAGAAGCUAUUUCAGGAAUGGAUUGAACGGCCCAAUAAGAAUUUGCAAGCAACAAAGCUACUAAGGAAAUUUGAGAGGCAGUACUCUCAAUUGUCGAAGGUAGAAAAAUUGACAUUGGAGCCGAACAAAGUUGAUCUAUUUCUUCAAGCUGCUGAUGGAGAAUUGUAAGGGAAAUUAGAACUCCUUCUUGAAGACAAAGAAGAAGAUAAAGGAUUGACAACAAAGUAGAAGAACGUUGAAGAUGCGGUGGGGUUGGUUACAAAAAAAGAAAGGAGGAAGGAUAGGAGAAAUAUUCCGAAAACAGUACAAGCAUCCAAAGCUCCAAUACGUACAACACCACUCACAAUGCCUACAGUUCAACCUUCGACAUCCUUAUCAAAGAAAGCAAAUAUGGGGAUGGAAGAAAUUAUACGAGGAAUGCGAGAUCUUCAAAUCAAAUUGGCAAGACUUGAAGAGAAUACUUCUAUAAAUAAUUCGAAGAAUGUUUCAAAACAAGGAUAUGUACAAAGAUGCAUUUGGUGUGAUGAUGCUUCACACACUAGAAAAGAUUGCAAUGAAUUUAAUAAUAUGAUACGGUAGGGAAUUAUUUGCUCAAAAGAUGGAAAGAUAGCAUUGAAAGAUAGGGAUGAUGUUCUUCAAACCAAUUUUGGCAAGGGAGGAAUGAGAGCAUUGAUUCAAGAUUACCUAAAAGAGCAUGAAACAGCAGCACGAGAAAGUGCAAGUUAUGGUACUAGAGUAGAUGAUGAAAUUGGUGGAAGUAUGGAAACUAGUGAGUUUUGGGCUUCGGCCGUUUCUACAAUGCAAGAAGGGAAAUUACCUCGAGAAGCGUUAUUAAGGACUGCAGCUACAAUACGAGGUGCAAUUGGUUAAGAGGAUCCUGUUGAGUCUCUUUCAGUUCAUGCAUAUAUUGCUAAGAGCCAACACGAAGCUUUGCUGGAAGAAAAGAGACGAGAAAAUUUUGAUGAUACGAGAGAAGGAAAUUCUUCUAAGAGGCAAACUCCAGGAGACAAGGCUCAGGAGGCAGCUUCACAAGAAUUGCCUGUAAAGGAUACCUCACCAUCAUUGGAAGAAAAAACAAAGGAGACAAAAGAUAAGGGCAAAUCAAUUGCUUAUAAGCUACUUUCUGACAUUGAAGCGGCAACAAAUUUGAAGGGGUGUUGGAAGAACGUAUAUUAAACACUAAGGUAGAAUUCACAUUGAAAGAAGUCUUGGGAAUUGCAAAGAAGGAGUUUCAUGAUGUUAUCAUUGACAGCAUUAAGUGAAAGAGGCGAUUAAUGGGCGAAACUGGAUUGAAUCAUGCUAUUGAUGCAAGAAUAUAUAAAGAUGAAGAAGAGGUUGAUAUUGGUUACAAGCAACCAACAAAUGAAAAGAAUGGGUAUAAUCAACGAGUACGUUUCGAAGACUAUAGUGAUAAGGAAAUGGAAACUUUGAGCUAUUAUAUUCGAAAGCAUUGGGCAAAGGCAACUACUGAGAUAUUGGUGAAAGUAAGAGAUAUAGAAGAACCAGUUGUUGCUUUAGUCGACCAUGGUUCUGAAAUAUCUAAAGAUCUUUAUAAGAAGCAAAAAUGGCCAAUUGAUAUGGAACAUGGAUGGGCAAUACGAGCAGCUAAUAAUACAUGGGGCGAAUUAUAUGGAGCUUGUCCAGAUGUCAAAAUUCGGAUUGGGGAUGUUGCGAUGGACCAACAUUUCUUUGUUCAAGAUACAACGUCUUAUCCGUUGAUUUUAGGACAACCUUAUAUUACAGCAACAUGGAUGGAAACUAAAGUACUUGACGAUGGUUCUGCUUAUACAAGGGUACGUAGCGAAGAUGGGAGGAAAGUUGUACAAUUUCUAACAAUACCUCCUAACUAUGAAUGGAAUCGAGAUAGGUUGAGGGAGAAACCAUUGCCAAAGAUUGUUGAAAGAUUUAAGAAUUUUGGGGAGGUACCACUAUAAAGCGAGAUUAUAGAGGUACAAAAGAGGAGGUACUCUCGAGAGAUGAAGGUGCCUUUGAUGCGUGUUUUAUUGGUAUUUUGGAGAAUGGAAAUAUUAUGUAUAAGAAAGUUGAUGAUUUUAAAAGAAAAGAAAGAAGAAGAUUAUAUGAUAUUGAAGGACAAUUAUGCAAGUUAGGGACAUUGCAAGAUGAUGAGAGGAUUUUAGGUGUUUAUGAAGAAAAUGGACUUGAAGAUUCAUUGGAAUUGAUUACAUCUAUUGGAUUAGGGGAUAAUGAUAAGAUUGUUGAGAUUCAUUCAAGAGAGGUUUAUACCAUACUUGAAUCUUUUCAAGCACCAGAAGUCACUGUAGAGACGAGAUAUAAAACGGCAGCUAAGAAGGUAAAGCCUGUUGCCGGACCAUUACCAGAAGAUUCUAAAGAACAAAUGGGAGAAGCAUCAAAAAAAGCAAGUUUAAGAGAUCCAAUGAGUAUUGUACAUCAGUUUACUAAAGAGACUUUUGAAGAAUUGAAGAUUGGUUUUGAUGGUUCUAUAUUGCCGGAGGAAAUUACUUGCUUCAAAAAGAUGUUGGCUAAACAAGGUAGAUCGUUUGCUUUCGAAUCUCAUGAAAUUGGGUGUGUGCAUCCAAAUAUUAUAACACCUAUGGUUAUCUUCACUGUACCGCAUGUACCUUGGAAUCUAAGACCGAUUCUAGUAUCGAGGGCACAUUUACCUAAAUUGGUUGAGCUAUUAAAAGAAAAGAUAAAGAUGAAAAUAUUGAAACCCUUGUUUGCACUGUAUUCUAGUCGAUGGUUUACGGUACCUAAGAAGAAUGGGUCACUACAGUUUAUUCAAGAUAUGCAAUCGGUGAAUGCAGUAACUGUCAGGAAUGUAGGAAUUGGACCUAUUGUGGAUGAAUUUACUAAGGCGUUUGCUGGAAGGGCGAUCUAUUCAAUGGGUGACUUGUAUUCAGGUUAUGAUCAAUUUCAACUUACCGAAGGAAGUAGAGAUAUGACAACAAUGAGGACACCACUUGGAUUGGUUAGAAUGUGCACUCUUCCUCAAGGCGCGACCAACUCAGUUGCGCAUAUGAUGAAUGGGAUGAAUAAGGUAUUGAGAGAUUUUAUUCCAAAAAAGACUAUGCCUUUUCUGGAUGAUGUUCCUAUAAAAGGGUGCAGAGAAGGAGACAAGGAUGAAACUUUAGAUACGAGGGGGUGUCGCAAAUAUGUUGUUGAUCAUAUACAAGAUUGUGUAAAGAUUUUAACUUGGCUUGGAGAAGUUCAUCUUACAUUAUCGGGUAUGAAGUCCGCAUUUGGAGUACGAAAGGUUGUAAUUGUUAAACAUUUAUGUAGAUCUUACGGAAGAAAACCAGAUCCGACUAAAGUUGAUGCAAUUGGAAGGAUGAAAGAGGAUUGUGAUUCUUUAACAGAGGUUCGUAGAUUUUUAGGUGCAUGUGUAUUUUAUCGAAUCUGGAUCCCUCAAUAUGCUCACAUAGCGGAUCCAUUAUAUGAACUUUUACGCAAGGACUACUGAUUUAAAUGGAAAGAAAGGCAUAUUCAGGCAAUGCAAAGAUUGAAGAAAUUAUUGAUGUCACCUCCAAUAUUGAGGAAGGUUGAUUAUAAGUGCAAUAGACCAGUGAUUCUUACUGUGGACACUAGUCCAAUUGCCAUUGGAUGGGCUGUGGGUCAAGAUGAUUCAAGUGGGAAUAGAUAUGCAGUUUGAUUUAGAGCUAAAGUUUUAAGUAUUUGUCAGCGUGCAUAUUCGCAAGUCAAAAGAGAACUUUGGAGAGUGGUUUCGGCUAUGAAAGCUGAAAAAGACUAUUUGAUUGGAGCAGUAGUAGGAAUUGAAACAGAUUGGUUGCUAUUGCUUGGAAUGAUUACUAACUGUUCAACACCAGAUAUUGCAAUGUUGAGAUGGAUUGCUUAUAUUAAGUCACUAAAUCCAGAAUUUAAGCAUAUUACAAGGAAAGACAAUUUAGUAGCAGACAUGCUAUCUCGAGCAAGAUACGAGAAGGAGGACGAAAUGGUUGAAGACAUUGAUGAUGUCGGAUUGAAAUUCUAUUCAAUAUCAAAUCUCAAGAGAGAAGACAAGCUAUUUCUUGAAGAAUCUUAUGAAGGAGGAUUAUUGGAUAUUGGUCAUUACUUGAAUACCUUGACUAAGCAGGAGAAUUGGUCUACAGAAAAAUUCAAACAAAUAAGAAAAAAAGCAUAUGGAUUUUUACUUCGAGAUGGAUUCUUAUGGAAGAGACCGAAGAAAGGAAUUGGGAUGCCACGACGAGUGAUAGGCAAAAGCGAAGAAUAACUAAAAUUAUUAAAAGAGUUUCAUGAUAGUUUAUGGACAAGGCAUAGAGGAAUCUGGGCUACUUUUGCUAAACUCAAGGAACGAUAUUGGUGGAAAAAUAUGUAUCGAGAUGUGCUCUCAUUUGUAGAGUCGUAUGAAAUCUGUCAAUCGUAUUCUAAUAUUCGACAUUGAGAUGGUCUUCAUCCUACGUAUCUUCUGGCUAUUCAUUUUAAAUGGGUUGUUGAUUUGGUUAUUAUGCCAGUUGGGUUAUGGCAGAUGAGAUAUUUGGUUUUAGCUCAUGAAUAUUUAUCAAAUCAAGUAGAAGAAAGAGUAUUGAGGACAAAAUCUACAAAGGGGAUUUGUAGGUUUUUGCUUGAAGAUAUCAUUUGUCGCUACAGAUGCAUAGGAAAAAUCACUGCAGAUCGUGGAGAAUUAAAUACACAAGAAGCUCGUAAGUUCUUUGAAAGAUGUGGAAUUAAACUAUCACUGACUAUUGCUUAUAAACUGGAAGGGAAUGCAAAAAGUGAACGCGGUCACCCAUCGAUUGUGAAAGCAUUAGUUAAAGCUUGUAGUGGGAAAGUUAAAGAGUGGCCAUGGCUUUUGUCAUUUGUAUUAUGGGCUGAUCGAACAACACAUAGUUUAGUGACAGGAUAUAUGCCAAUAGAACUUAUGACAGGUCGAAAACUAAUUAUGUCGAUUGAAGAAAAGGUACUUACUUGGAGUAUGCUACCAUGGGAAGAUGGAUUGACAAGAGAAGAACUUCUGGCUAUUAGGAUUCGACAAUUGGAGCAAAGAUCGAAAGAUGUGCAGAUAGCAUUGGAACGGUUAAAAAGAGCAAGGUUACAAAACAAGGCGCGAUUCAACAAGCAACAUCGAUUGAGACCUAAAGCAAUCGAAGAAGGUGAUUGGAUACUUGUUUAUGACAAUAGUCUAGAUAAUCAACAUAGUACUUUGCAAAAAUUUUCAAAACGUUGGCUUGGACUAUAUGUAGUAACAACUGUUCAUGAUAAUGCGACUUACUCAUUACGGGAGUUAGAUGGUACAAAAUUAAAAAUACCAAUUGCAGGGAAGCGAGUAAAAAUAUUUAAACAAAGACACAUGGAGAUGAAUAUGGAAGACCUUAAUGAAGGUAUAGAGAUUCCGCAGCAAGAAGAUGAAAGUGAUUUGGAUAAUGAAGGUGACGAAGACAAACUGGACAAAGACGUAGAGGAUAUAUUUUGAAUCAAACAGCAAUUGGGUAAAUUGGUGCAUAUUGAAGGAUGUACAAGUUCAGAGGGGAUGGAUGUCGUGUUGUAACACGAGUAUAUCGUGAAAAUAUAAAGAAAGGGGACUUUUAUUAAUGUUCAGUUACCUCGAAUAUUGGGAGCAACAACCAACUCCAGUGCAAAUACUGAGUGGCCAGGUUCAGUCACCCCGUUACAGUCAGUCGAGGCAUACUAAAAUGCUCCAUUCGAUUCCAAUAACGGGAGUCAGCAGGAAGAGAAAGGACCAAUUCACACGACGGGUGAGCUUGGUUCGAAGAGCCAAUUGGAUCCAAUUUCAAGAAUCCAAUCCGGGUCCUUUUACCCAAUAUGAGACCUGAAUUGGCCGGACAACCCACUGCAGUCUAAUUACAGAAAAAUCCAGGUCUUACUACAGGCCUCAGCCAAUCUGACGCGAAGGACCAAUUUGAUCCAAUUACGGGGACAUCCGGAUCUUACUACUGGACUCUUAGCCAAUAUGAGACCUGAAUUGGUCGGGCGACUCAAUGUGGUCCCGAUUACGGGGUUUUGAUUCUGUUUCAGGCUGUUCUGUUCUCUGUGCCGUUUCAGGGAACGUUGUUUUUAGUAAAAGGAUCUCUUAAAGGUAAAAACGGGGAAGAAAGCUCUGACGGCGAGAGCCAAUUUUGGAUCCAAGCUCUGGCGGUGUGAGCCAAUUUUAGAUCCAAGGCGGAAGAUUGAAGAAAUUCAGAGGAUAAGGUUAGGGGAGAAUAUAAGUUUUUGGAGAGGUUUUGAAGGAGGGAGAGAGAGCUAGCUUCAUGCUUCGGGCGGGGAAAGAAGACAGAGAAUUGGGUUUUUUUUCUUCAUAGGAUUUUGGGAAGACUGAGGCAAUCGUUGCUAAAGUCAGUGUUGUAAUGGUGAAUCGAGAUUUUUAAUGAAGUGGGUUUGAUUACUCUUGACUGUCUUGUGAAAUCGAAUUACGUCUGUGAUGAAGAGUUAAAAGGGUGUCUAUAGGAUUGAGUAUGUGGAGUGAAUGAAAUUUAUUGGGUUAAUCUAGCAAGACAGUCAGUGGAUACAAGAUCGUGAGUAUAAAGCGGUAUCAAAGAUUAGUAGUUUGGGUUGUUCGGGGUUCUCUGUAACGUCUAGAGACCUAUCAGCUAGGGCAAAAAGGACUUCGACAAGUAGUCGAAGGGCAUCCAUAUAGAUUUACGGUGUAUUCUUAUAGUUGUUUGUAUUCCAACAAUCAAAAACCAAUAAACUACUUGAAUAUUAGCGAAUCUCCAUACUACCUUCUACAACCAGAUGCUCGGUGCGUUCUCGAGCAGGAAAGCACAUAAUACGACUCCGCGUUCAUUAAAUUCACACUAGAGCCGCCAUCAACUUAUACCCGUGGAAUUAAAAUGCCAUCGAUUGAUACAUCGAUUGUUGGUGCUCCCAGAUCUGGGUUUAAGCUAACUUCAUGAAUUUUUUUAGUAUGGGAUCUUCAUCAUAUUAGCGCUGAAUUCAAUGUAGAUUGACAUUCUAGUGCUGUAGCCAAAAGUUGCUUCAUUGUAAUUGAAGGCUGAAUAACAUCCAAAUCCUUUAGAAUGUCAUAGGAUUCCAUAUUGAGAGUAAUUUCCAAUGCUCUUUUGCAUUUCAUUGGUUUCGAUUUUACUCCAUGAGGUAAGAUAUUUUUCUACCUUGGGCUCGGAAUUGGAACAGCAGCCGUAGUUUCUUUGGAAUUUUUGCCCCCGAGAGGAUCUUUCAAUGGAUAGGACGUUUCUCAGAACUACAUGGAGAUCGAAACUGCUUAGAAUGGAACCAAAGCCUCCGUAAUUGGGACCUCAUUGGAUUGUGCCAUUGAUUCAGGUUUCAUACUGGGUACAAAGCCCGUAACAGGACUUGGAUUGGAUGGUCCUAGUAAAUUGGAAUGUGGAACCGAAUUGAAUUUCUUAGUCUGUUGACAUCUCAAUAUUGAGAUACGUCUCAAUACUGAUAUUGGUUCGUUUAGCCCUGUGGACGACGCUACUUGCUCUCCUGUGAUUGGUUCAUCCAUAUCCUGAAUUAGAUUCUUAUGUUUUUGUUGGCCUCUGGUAAGCACUGCGUUCACCACCUUGACAUGAUGUACUGGUGCAUCUCGUUGAACAGGGCCUUUGUUCUCUACUAGUUGGCUUGUUUGUAUUUGCUGAUCCCGGUUAUUAUAAUUAGAAGGUGCAUUACACUGUUGAUAAGUGUGACGAGACUGCUUAUAAUUUCCACAUAUUGGAGCAUAGUCAUCACUGGUCCUUAAAUUAGGACAUUCACUCGCAUAAUGUCUGAUUUGUCUGCAACGAUAGCAACGAAGUAGUCUCCUGCCAACUCCUUCAGAGAUAAUGGGGGUCUCUAUUGGUAUAUAAUGGCUAGGUCUAUUCCAUGUCGGAUGAAUAAAAAAUCCUAGUUGACCCAUUAUUAUUGUAGAGUCUGACAUUGGUUUCGUCAUGGGUGGAUAUGGAUGGUAUCUUGGUUGGUUCAUCGCCAAUCCGUAAAUAUUAGAUAUACCUUCUUAGUGAAAUUUAGAGUUGAUGAAAUUGGAAUAAUUCUUGUUUUGUUUAUUCACUCGAUUUUUAUUCUAGCCAAACCUAUUAUUCGUCUGUACUUGAUUAACAUCCUACGAAGUUGGUUGAGUCAUUAUCUGAUUUUUGAGUUGUUGUUGCUUUCAUAAAUUCCAACAAUUGGUGGUAAUAUGCUUGCCCUCGCAAAAGGUAUAUUGUACAGUCAUUUGGGAUGGUGAAGGAUAUUCUGUUACUAAAUGACCUUGCCCCUUACAAUUGCUGCACCAGACAUUGGGACGCAUAUUGGUUGAUUUAUGUUUUUUUUUCUUUAUCCUUGGCCAGGUUCACAACCAAUUCAUCCAUUUUUUUUGUCAAUAUUAAUAGCAAUGACUCAUUGGGAUCCCUUGAUACUAAUGCAUUUGGCAAUUCCUUUGUAAGUAUUGAUUUUUGAUACACGGAAUAAGGUGCAUAUGGUGUCGUAUGGCGUGAUUUGCUAUCUGGGAAUACACUGGAUAUCUAGCUGUAGAGAGUGUACCUUAAACCUUUGUAUGAUUCUUUUCUUGGCUUCCAAAACUCCUAAAUUUUUGUAUAAAACUCCAAAUAUAACAAAAUCCCUUCAAAACAUAUUUUUUCCGCGAAGGAUUUUUUUUGCCCCAAACUUUAGAAAAUCAUAACUAUUGAUCUAACCGUUCAAUUUGUUUCAAAUUUAUAAGAUAGGUAGAAUUUACCCUUAACUUGUACCACCAAAAAAACCAACUGUAAAUUCACUCCCAAAAUUUUGGCAUCUAAGAAACCCUAGCAGACACUCCAAACCCUAAUUUAUAAGCACCCAAAAACUUUUUUCCUUAUAUCUCAAAAAUCCGAACUUCAAAUGUCAUAAAACUUAUGCACAAAGUUUAUUAAUAUGAAAUUACACGUUCCUUGAAAUUUUGAGCCAAAACCUCACAAAAUUGCUCAAGAUAUAGCUCAAGAGACAAACACUAGUAAAUCGGUUUACUUACUACCCUUAGAUUGCAUGUGCUGACUUCAAAAUCCAAUAACUCCUUCAUCCCAACUUAGAAUCCAGUAAGCAGUGUAUGAAAAGUAUAGCCGCAAAAGUUUUAUCUCCAGUCGCAAUCGCCAAUCCUCAAUUGCUGUCCGUAUGCGUGCGUUAUGCCCAAAAGAGUGACAGUCGGUCCAAAACUAACACCUUAACUUUGAGCGCCUAUAACUUCUUCAUAAAAACCCCAAAUGGCACAAAACUUGUACCAAAACCUUAACCAAAAACCUAAACCUUCUGACUUUAGCCUUCAAAGUUCGAAUGGCCUCGAGAAACUAACCCUAAUCCCUAAUAUGGCCUCGGGCAGCCUCCUCAAAGCCCAUUGGUCAUGAUUUUUGACCAAUAGGAAUGGAGAUUUUUAUUUUUCAUCUCCAUUCAUCUAAAUUGGUGCCCUAAUUCCUCCCUUUGCUACCAAAAUCCUUUUUCAAUCCUUUUUCUUAUAAGAUUUAUAUAAUGUAUGCUCUAAACACCAAAUAAAAGAACCAAAAUAAAUUUUCAAAUAUCACCAAUGUCCAACAAAGGUGACUCUAAAUAUUUAGAAGUUACUAUCAACCAAAACCAAUCUUAAAAGCCACUAUCAAAAAGAAAUUAAAGUUAUACAAAUUCUAUAGUAAUCUUUUUAAACACCCUCUUCUCAAAGUAAUAAUCAAAUUAUAUUCUACAACCAACUAAAAUCUACUAACAUGGCUCUCACCAUGUUACUUAAUAAAUUAUAUAUUAAAUACAUAAUUACAUUAUUUUCAUAUAGUAGCCGAACCACAACACGACAACAAGUGUCAUGAUGAUGGUGGAACAGCUUGCAAUGGAACAGCAUCUAUUAUUCUUUGUGGAAUUGUACCAUAAUCAUUCCUUCCCAGAUAACUUUUCGAUGUGUCAUUCCAAUUUGUCAUUUGAUAACCUCCUUGAGAUGGAAUCAUUGUGGCUCCAACUGUUAAGUUCUGGUCAUAGUGACAUUCCUCCCAUACUUUUGUUCGCUCAAGAGAUGAUGCAAUGGUGGCUGAUUGGGCCUCCUUUACAAACAUCUUCAAUUCUGAUGGGUGUAGUCCAUUAACCAAUAUGGACAAUACAAAUGAUUUUGACAUUUGGUUAUUUGGCCAUUUUCAAAGUAUAUCUGCUACACGACUAUAAUAUGACUGUACCGCUUCCCUUGGUACCAUUCUUCUGUUCAUUAAUUUUUCUCUUAGAUGUUCUUCAAAACCAAUUGAUCAAAAAUGGGCUAAAAAUGUAUUUUUCAAUGCCUCCCAAUUGAUAAAUUGUCCCACAGGUUGGUGGUUAUACCACUCAAAUGCUGUAUCUUUUAAUGUUGCUGGCUGCCAUCGCAACCAAAUAUCUUCAGUUCUUCGAUUAUUGGCUACAUACGUUGUCAAGAAUUGAGACAAAUAUUGAUCUGGAUCCGCACCUGGCAAAUCCCGAAAAGUAGGUCAUGGCGCGACGCUAGUCGUUUGAUCGCCCACUGCACCCAUUUGAACUGCAAUUGAAACGGCUGGUCUUCCUGAUGCCAUUGAAUUUCUUGUUUCGCUAAACUCCGUUUUAAAAUAAUCUCUGCUUUACCUUAUUCUUAUUUUUGAGCUCUCAGUGCUCCUCGAUUUAUUGUUAUUUUCUGCAAUUAGUUUUAUUGAUAGAAUUAUAGGUAAAAACAUCGGAUUUUGAAAUACAAUAUAGUUAUCUUUAUUGGCGACUAAUUUGUGCCAAUCUGAAGAGCCACUAUUGCUUGUUUUAGUGGUACCCCAUAUUGAAAAAAUAUCCAAUGGAGUACCAAAUUCUUCUAUACCUCAUUCUCUUUCAGUUAACGGCCUCAAGAUUUCUACUGGAAUGUUAAAAAAAUUUCUCCCGAGUGUUCUUGAUACUUUUUCUAAUGGUACAUAUGACUGCAGAAUUAACAAUCUGUCCGGUUCUUGGUAUGUUCGGAUGAGUCGACAAGCUUGCAACCAUGGUUUAAUCCAAUUUUGUCAAUGCUUCCUUUUAAGAUUAUGUUCUUGCUCUUCUCUAAGCAAGUUCCUUCCUUGCACUCUUCCUUGUCUUUCUCUCAACUGAUUUAUUUUCUUCGAUGCAAUGCUCUUGUUCUUAUUAACCAUAAUCUUGCUUCAAACACUACUAAAAUCAUCUUCCAUUGCCAAUUUUCUCACACGUUUGGUAAUAAACUCCUAACAUUCAAAGCUAUUAUCACUCCUUGACAGCGGUGCCAAAAUGUGAUGGCUUGUUUUACUUAUUUUAGAAGAAACCUCCUAACAUGAACCUGUAUAGGAAGAUUCGAAUACGAAAAAUGACUAAUUGCUUAAGCGUUCAUGUUAGGGUCAUACAAUCAAUUACCUCCUAAAUAUAUCAUCUCUAUUUGUAAUAUCUGAACACACAAGGAAACUAUAAUCUCUUCCUUCACCUUAUCGGUCUCUUCCUUACAGCAAUUCAGUCAUACUAAUAACUGCUAUUUCCACCAAUAUAUUCACCCUCAUAAUCUCCAACUGUAAUACUGUGCCCUCACAACUUUCAGCAUAAAAUUACCUUCAUUUCAAUCACUGGAAUUCUUCAUUUAGAACUUCCAUUCAUAUUACAAUGUUUCACACAAACACAGACUCAUUCUCUCUGCUGAACUACAAUUAGAUUUCAGCAUUCAAUCUUUUUUCUUCUCAAAUAAUACCAAUCACAUUUCCAUUCCAAAAUUCACUUCACAAUAUUCAGAAACUCUCAAUCUUCUUCUUCAAAGAAAAUAACAAAUAAAAGAAAAGAGGUACCACCAAGCUUACCCCAACUCACACUAUCAUAGCGAUGGCAUCUUAAUUAACUUCUACAACUCCUAUAUACUUUCACCUGAUUCUCUAGAUUCUAAUCAUAAUUCUAUAAUUAACUACUUUUAAAAAUUAAAUCACUCAUCCGUCUUCCUGAAUUUCCUAUUAUAGGGACUAUUAAUAUAUUUUACCAGCAUCUUUUAAAAACAAAUUAAUAUCUAUUCUACACAUUGCCUUCUUUCUUUCAAAGGAUAUCUCCUUUCAUUUGUAGAAGAAGAUUCACCUUGUUGCAUUCCAUGUUCUUUUUUAACCUUCUUUGCUCUUAAACAUUGUCAUUUCUCACUCAAUGGUUGAUACUCCUCAUCACCAUCAUCACCAUCAUAAUCUUCAAUAUCUUCAUUUCUUUCGUUGUUGUUCCUAGCAAUUAUAGGAGCCUUCAUCUUUUCAACCUUUUUUGGCUUUUCAUCUUCAUCAUCUUCAUUGUCUUCAUCUUCAUCAUCUUCAAUGUCUUCAUCUUCAUCAUCAUCAUUGUCUUCAUCUUCUUGUUUCUAUGCUGAAUUCAAAGAUGUAUCCACAAACACACCAUUACUCCUACUUGGACACAUCUCCAAGUGCUCACAAGCACUCUUGAACUCCAAAAACUCAACAUCACGACUUUUGAUGAUCUUCUUGGUUUCCAAGCUUAUUAGCUUACAUGCCUAAGUACCUUUUUUAAUAACCAAGAAUCACAAACUUUGUACCUUUUGUAUCAAGUUUGGACCUAAUACAGUCUGAUGUUUUUGCAUAUACAAUACAAUCAAAGGUCCACACAUAGAAACUUGUCACGGCCAUAAUCAUGUAAGCUAAUAAUUACAUAUAGAAAUAGGUAGAAGUAAGUAAAAGUAGAUAAAAGUAAGUUAAUUCUAUAAUAUUUAAUAUAGAAGCUUCUUAGAAACUUCCUAGAUGCUGCUUUGACUUCAUAGGUGUCUUUAAUUGACUUUUUGGAUUAGAAACGUGGUCAACAAGUUGGCCAUGUGCCACACAUGUUGUUAGCUUGAAGAUCAAGCUAACUAUGUGGCCCACACGUAGAAAAACUUGCCUUAUAAGUCAAGACAUGUGUCCUACAAAGUCAACACAUAUUGGAGGUCCUAUAGAACGUCGCCAUGUAGCCCCUAGUUAGAUAGUAUAUAUAGAGACAAGAGUGAAGGCUUCUUCACUCUUGUCAACUCCUUUCUUGCUUCUAGUCCAGGUUCAAGAGUCUUUAGUUUCUUGUCUUGUGGCAAUAGCCAUUCCAGUUUUCUUUUAAUAUACCUACUUGUUUAUAUUUUGACUUAUUAUAUCGAGAUAGCCUUUUGGUGUAUAUUUUCCCUCAUCGAGUCUUUGUCCUUGACAGAUUGACAAGAGUAUACUUACAAUAUCAGAGCUUUGUUUUUUCUUGAGUAAGAGUGGAUUACUCCUUUCUCUUGACAAGACAUAAGCAUAUUAGAAGUUUGCGGAUUACCCACUUCUAAACUGAUAUUGUUCUUAGUAUCUUCUUUGUUAUCAAGUCUUUCUUUUCUUUUGUCUUGAGCAAUAUCAAACAAAUUUUUCUUCUUAGUGUCAUUAUAGCAGAGCUUGUUGAAAUGAAGAGUGCAAUGGCACAAAUGCACGAGCAAAUGAGGGAGUUAAUGCUUGCGAUGCAUCAACUCAAUUCACUAACAUAGGAAAGAACAAGAAUAGCAGAAAGUGGAGAUAUAGAGAGGAUCGGAGCUGCUUCAACAUCUACAACAAAUCAUGUUCCUUUUCCAAUUGUACAACACCCUAUAAGCACUAGAGAACCAAGAAUUGCCUUACCUGAGAAAUUUGAUGGUACGAGAUCAAAGUUUCGAGGGUUCAUCAAUCAAGUACAAUUGGCAAUUGAACUUCAACCGCAAAGCUAUCCAACUCCAGGAUCACAAGUCAGGUUUAUUGGCACUCUACUUUCUGGUUCUGCAUUAUCGUGGUUUUCAUCUUUUCUUGAACAACGAAAUCCAAUAUUGGACAAUUUGGAAGCUUUUUUGGCAGAGUUUUGAUAUAUGUAUGGUGAACACGAUGCAACUCGUGUUGCAACAAAUAAGAUCCGAAUUCUGCGACAAGGAAAUCGCUCAGUAAUAGUAUAUGCUUCACAAUUUCGACAACUUGCAAUUGACAUCAAGUGGGAUGAUGCUGCACUCAUCAGUCAAUUUCUUUAUGGAUUGCAAUACGAAGUAAAGAAAUUGAUGCUCAACUUACCUGAUCCUCAAACUUUGAGUCAAGCAAUCGAUUUUGCGGUAAAAUGUGAUAAUCGACUUUUCGAAUUUCGAUCCGAAAAUCAUUCACGGGAACCUCAACGUUAUUACUCAAUGGCAACAUCAACAUCUUUGCCAAAUGUACAUUAAGAAGUAGAAGACAUGCAAAUUGACGUGGUACGUUUUAAACCCCUAACUGAGCAAGAAAAGAUUCGUCGUCGUCAAGAAGGAUUAUGUUUAUAUUGCGGAGAACCUAAGCACACUGCUCAACAUUGUCCAAAGAAACGACGCAACUAUAAAAUGAGGGGUAUGACGGUCAAAGAAGACAGCAUGUCGGAAAACGGAUUCGUCCAGCUACAAUAGGGACCGUGCAGCUGGAACCUUGUACAAUUCCUAAUGAAGGUCCUAUCCUCUCCUCAAAACCCUCUCCUUGUUUUAUAAUAGACUUAUAUUUAGGACCUAAGAAUUACAAAGCCUCUGCUUUAUUAGAUUCGGGAGCCUCAGCAUGUUUUUUAGAUGAACAAUUUGUUAAAAGUCGUAAAAUACCCUUUGUACAGAAACCUAAACUAGUACAUGUAGAAGUCAUAGAUGGUCGUCCCUUGUCUUCUGGAGAUGUCACUCAUGAAACUCAUCCUAUAAAAGUAACAAUAGAUGGUCAUGAUAGCUACAUAGCUUUUAACAUAAUUAAAUCUCCGUCCAAUCCAGUUAUUUUAGGUUUAUCCUGGCUAGAAAAAUAUAACCCUCGAAUAGAUUGGAAUUCGCGUAAACUUGACUUUUCCCAAAGCGUUAUUAAUAGUUCUACUAACCAAGUAAAAAAUUAUAAGUCUAGUAUAGUAAAACCUGUACUGAUAGGUGCAAAAGCAUUUAUACACAUAGCAAAAGAAGGAUCAACUUUUGCUAUUUAUGCUGCACCUAUUUCUGAAAACGUAAAGACUUCAAUUGGCAUUCCAAGUCAAUAUCAGGAGUAUCAAGACGUUUUUGAGAAAAAAAAUGCAGAUAUUCUUCCUGAGCAUCGCCCAUAUGAUUGUUCAAUCGACCUCAAGGAAGGAACUCAGCCACCAUUUGGACCAAUUUACAGUUUAUCGCAAGAUGAGAUGGCUGAACUCAAGACAUAUAUUGACGAGAAUUUAGCAAAGAAUUUCAUAUGCCAUUCAAAAUCUCCAGCAGGAGCUCCAAUUCUAUUCGUAAAGAAAAAAGAUGGAUCUUUACGAAUGUGUGUUGAUUAUCGAGGAGUCAACAAGAUCACAAUCAAGAAUAGGUACCCAUUACCUUUGAUAUCAGGACUCUUUGACCAGUUGAAUCAAGCUAAGAUCUAUACAAAAAUAGAUCUAAGAGGAGCAUAUAAUCUAGUACGGAUCAAAGAAGGAGAUGAAUGGAAGACUGCAUUUCGAACCAGGUAUGGACAUUUCGAAUAUAAUGUCAAGUCCUUUGGACUCACGAAUGCACCAGCUGCUUUUCAACAUCUCAUGAAUGAUGUAUUUCGUGAAUUCUUAGACAAUUUUGUCAUCUGCUAUCUAGACGAUAUCCCGAUCUAUUCUAAGAACGUCGAAGAACAUGAAAUACAUGUUCGUCAAGUAUUAUAAAAACUUAGAGAUGCAGGAUUGUACGCCAAGAUGGAAAAGUGUGUAUUUCACACUACUCAAGUUGACUUUUUAGGAUACAUCAUUUCAAAUGAUGGUCUCAUGAUGGAUUCUAAGAAAGUCCAAACAAUCAUGGAUUGGAAGAUUCCAAGGACAGUAAGAGAUGUCCAAUGGUUCUUGGGAUUUGCCAAUUACUAUCGGAUCUUCAUCAAAGAUUUCUCAUGAGUUGCAGCUCCACUUACACGCUUGACUAGUAAAGAUAAAUUCCAAUGGAAUCAAGAAGCGAAAGCAGCAUUUGAAGCCUUGAAGACAUCGUUUGUCUCUGCACCAGUCUUAUAUCGUGUUGAUUUUUCCAAGGCAUUUUUUAUGGAAACAGAUGCAUCAGAUUUUGCCUUGGGUGCAGUUUUAUCACAAAUGGGAACAGAUGACAAACUUCAUCCGAUAGCUUUUCAUUCAAGAAAAUUCUCAGCAGCCGAGAUCAAUUAUGAGAUCCACGAUAAAGAACUUCUUGCGAUCGUGGAUUCCUUUAAAGAAUGGCGUCAUUAUCUAGAAGGCGCUUCUAGUCCAGUCACUGUGUAUACAGAUCACAAGAACCUCGAGUAUUUCAUGUCAGCACGCGUGUUGAAUCGUCGUCAAGCUCGUUGGAGUAUGUCUUUGUCAAGAUUCGAGUUCAUUAUCACUUAUCGGCCAGGAAAACAACAAGGUUUGUCUGAUGCCCUAUCUAGACAUUCUUAAUUUGUACCAAAAGAAGGAGAUGCAGCUUUUGAGCAACAAAGAACGGUCCUCUUGAAACCGGAGCAAUUUCAUCUCCAAGCAAUGAAAUCAACAUUGACGGUUGAUUCAACUUUUCUCAAGCAAAUCCAGUCCAGUAUGUCCUCAGACCCUCUUGUUUAUGAUAUCGAGAAUAAUUCUUCCAAGUCUCAUGAUCCUUCUAAGUUCGAGUUCAAGAAUAAUCUAUUAUAUUUUGAAGGACGCCUAUAUGUUCCAGAAGGAGAAGCACGUUUACGUGUUCUUCAAGCACGUCAUGACUUUCCAGCAGCAGGGCACUUUGGAUAUAUUAAGACUUUGGAACUCAUAUCAAGAGAUUUUUGGUGGCCACAAAUGUGGAAGUCAGUCAAAGACUUUGUACAAUCAUGUGAUAUUUGUUCAAGAUCAAAAAUUCCUCGUCAUCGACCUUACGGACUUCUUCAGCCAUUACCUAUACCAGAACAACCAUGGUCUUCUGUUUCUAUGGAUUUCAUCAUAGAUCUUCCAAGCUCAAGAUCUUAUGAUUCUAUAUUUGUGAUAGUAGAUCGUUUCACCAAGAUGGCACAUUUUGUGCCAUGUACAAAAUCUAUCACAGGUGAAGAAACAGCUAAGCUUUUCAUUGAUAAUAUCUAUCGCUAUCAUGGAUUACCUAAAGAUAUCAUAUCAGAUAGGGGAACUCAAUUUGUGUCAAGAUUUUGGAGGACCCUUUUCAAGAUUUUAAAAGUGGACAUAAAGCUAUCUUCGGCUUUCCAUCCUCAAACUGAUGGACAAACAGAGCGCGUAAACCAAGUCUUGGAGCAAUAUUUAAGGUGUACUAUCAACUACCAACAAGAUGAUUGGACAACCCUUCUGCCAUUGGCAGAGUUUGCUUAUAAUAAUACGGCACAUUCUUCCAUGCAACAAACACCUUACUUUGCCAAUUAUGGCUAUCAUCCACGACUUGAUACUUUUGAUUUUUCAAAAGUUAAUAAUCCUGUAGCAGAAGAUAUCGCAAAUCGGUUGUCAGAGUUACAUGCAAUAAUGAAGACGCAAUUGAAGGAAGCUCAAGAACGACAAAAGAUAAACGCAGAUCUAUAUCGUAAGGAGCAACCACAAAUCAACGUGGGUGAUAAGGUAUGGCUACUUUGUCGCAAUAUCAAGACUACUCGACCUUGUGACAAGUUGGACUAUCAUAGGCUUGGCCCCUUUUCUAUUUCUGAACAGAUCAACCCAGUUGCAUAUCGGUUACAUCUACCGGAGUCAAUGAAGAUCCAUCCUGUAUUCCACGUGUCUCUUCUUGAACCAUAUAAGACAGUGGAUAUACAAGGAAGAAGACAAAUGCCACCGCCUCCUAUAGAAGUAGAUAAUAAUGAAGAAUUUGAGGUGGAAGAGAUAUUAGACUCAAGGCGGCACCGAAAUAAGCUGGAAUAUCUUGUUCAUUGGCGCGGAUAUGAUAUUAGUGAACGCACAUGGGAGCCAUCCAGGAAUCUAGCAAAUGCAUCAGCUAAAGUCAAAUUUUUUCAUCAACGACAUCCAUCAAAACCAAGAUGAAAAUCUCUCUUAUAAAAGAGACAAGAUUGAGGCAAGAUAACAUUCAAUUUCCUAUCCUUGUUUGUAACUUCUUUGCAUUUGUGACGCUAAUUAGAUGGAGAGCCAACCGAUUCAACUCAAGAACCUUCGUUUGCUGACCUGCCGGACAAGACAUUACGAUUGUCACAACCUUCAAGACGACGCAAUCGAGAUGAAGAUCUUCAAGAACGACAUGUUCUUCCUCGAAGAGAUGGUGAGAUACAACGUGUUUGGUAUCACGAUUUGAGAAGGGACUCUCGAUGUUUGGUGAUUUUGCUAGAGGUAGGAACAACUCCUGAUGGUGUUCCAAAUAUUCUAUUCGAAGGAAGUUACAAAGGCCUCAACAAUGAUCAAAUAACUGGGUGGUCUUUCCGCCCUGGUAUGGGAUACUAUCGAUGGUUGAGAGGCCCUAUCAAUCAUCUUCGAAGAGAACAGAGAUCAGAGUAUGUGGCGAAUAUAAUUCGUCGCAUCAUAGAUUUCCUCAACAUAUGAUGACCGCUCCUCGUGGAACUCGUCUCUAGAAGAGGGGGUAAUGUCACGGCCAUAAUCAUGUAAGCUAAUAAUUACAUGUAGAAAUAGGUAGAAGUAAGUAAAAGUAGAUAAAAGUAAGUUAAUUCUAUAAUAUUUAAUAUAGAAGCUUCUAAGAAACUUCCUACACGCUGCUUUGACUUCAUAGGUGUCUUUAAUUGACUUUUUGGAUUAGAAACGUGGUCAACAAGUUGGCCAUGUGCCACACAUGUUGUUAGCUUGAAGAUCAAGCUAACUAUGUGGCCCACACGUAGAAAAACUUGCCUUAUAAGUCAAGACAUGUGUCCUACAAAGUCAACACAUAUUGGAGGUCCUAUAGAACGUCGCCAUGUAGCCCCUAGUUAGAUAGUAUAUAUAGAGACAAGAGUGAAGGCUUCUUCACUCUUGUCAACUCCUUUCUUGCUUCUAGUCCAGGUUCAAGAGUCUUUAGUUUCUUGUCUUGUGGCAAUAGCCAUUCCAGUUUUCUUUUAAUAUACCUACUUGUUUAUAUUUUGACUUAUUAUAUCGAGAUAGCCUUUUGGUGUAUAUUUUCCCUCAUCGAGUCUUUGUCCUUGACAAAACUGCAAGGUUGUCUCCCACUCCAAGCUUCUUAUGGUGUCAUUGAUGCAAGAAUACUUGUUGGACACUUAUUUCUUGUAUAUACUACGUUCAUCAUAGCUUCUACCCCAAAUUCAUAGCCAAGGUAUUGAGCAUGAAGUAUGCUCUUUGCCAUUUCUACAAUGAUUUGAUUUGUCCUUUUGGCAACACUAUUUUGUUGUAGAAUGUAUGGAGUUGUGGUUUGUCUAAUAAUUCCUUCAUUCUUCAAAUAAAUAUCAAAUUGCUUAGACAUGUACUCACCUCCAUUGUCCGUAUGUAACACCUUGAUCUUGCAUUCACUUUGUUUCUCAAGAAGUGAUCUAAACUCCUUAAACCUCCAAAAGCAUUCACUCUUGGCUUUAAGAAUAUAGAUCCAAAUCUUUCUUGAAUAAUUAUCAAUGAAAGAAAGAAAAUGCCUUCAUCCUCUAAUACUUGUAUUCUUCAAAGGUCCACAUACAUUAAAAUGGACAAUCUCUAAUAACUUAGUAGCACUUCUUGCAACGCUACUUAAAAAUGAUGUCCUUUGUUGUUUGCCUUGUAUGCAUACUUCACAUGUAAGUUAUUUUACAUUUUGGAUUAUAUUACAAAGAUCUAAGUUGCAUAUAAUAUACUUGAACAGUCUCAUGCUCUUCACAUCCAAAUAGCCAAGGUGAUGAUGUGAUAUAUUUAACUUGUCUUGGUUUGAUGUAAACUCAGCAAAUGUGGCUACUUCCACUCCAUUCACCUUCUUACAAAUGAAGUAGUACAAAUUUCCCUUUUUAAAGCCUUUGAAGACCUUGUCUCCACUCACUGUUCUUACAAAACAUCCAUUCAUGUGAAAUUGAACUUUAAAACCUUCUAUUACAAGUUUACUCACCGAAAGUAGGUUUUGCUUCAUUUUAGGCACAUGAAGGAUAUUUUUGAAUCUAAUCAUAUUGGUUUGUCCAUUCACAACCACCUCUACUACAAUAGAGCCAAUUUCAAUGGCUUCAGAUGAACCACUAUUUGCCAUUACUAUAUUUGAUGCUGGAAUAGCCUCAUAUGUGUCAAAUAAUCAAUUAUAAGAUAUUAUAUAUUUGGAACAACCUAAAUCCAUAAUCCAUCUUGACAUGGCAGCCAUAGAGGUUCCAUUUGUUGCAGUGAAUGCAUAAUCUUAUCUUUCAAAUUCAUCUUAUAUACUAUUUACAUUUUCCUUUUCUAUCUUUUUGUCCUUGUAGCAAUUUUGAGCUAAAUGGCCUACUUUGCCACAAAUGAAGCAAGAUUUGACAUUACCUUUUUGAUUUGGAUAGUUGCCCUUGCCUUGACAUGAAUAGAGUGCUGAAUCUUUACUUUGAGGCUCCUUUUCUUUCUUCUUGGUUACUUCAUGGACAAGUCUUGCCGUCACAUAGUCCAUUAUAAGCUCUUUUAGCUUAAUAGACUCUAAUGCCACAAUAAGAUAGUUGUAAGAUUUAGAAAGGCUCAUCAGCAAGGUCAUGACAAUAUCACUUUCUUUUAAAGGCUUGUCAACAAUUGAUAGUUGGUUUGCAAGAGCCUUUACUUUAUUCACAUGAGCCAUGAAAUCUUCACCUUCUUCCAACUUGCAAGUAAAGAACUUCCUCCUUGUAAAGAUGAUGUUGAAUAAGUUCUUGCUCUCAUAGAUGUUGCAAAGAAUCUUCCAUGCUUUCGCUAAUUCUUUGCAAGAGAUAAUGUGGGAGAAGUUGGCUUCAUCCACAUUGAUUGCAACCAAUCCAAAAGCCUUCUUUUCAUGACGUUUUAACUCCUUCUUCUCCUUCAUAUCAGCAUCUUUGCUUGGAGCCUCUUCACUUUCAUCUACAAUAUUCCAAAGAUCCAAAGACACCAACAAAAGCUCUAUUUUUACCUUCCAAUGGUAGAAAUUCUCACCUCUGAACUUCUCAAUUACUUUCAAUCCUUCACCUUUAUAUGAAGCCAUGUCGAAGGGAGAGAUGUAUUAAAAAAAAUUGAAACAAGAAGUCCUAAUGUUCUCAAAAUCAGCAAGAAAGUAUUGCUGCGAUAGAAUCACAUAAUCCUUCUUUGUGAACAAACUAAUAUUCUUCUUUUCAAAAUCACUCUCAACUCCACUUCUAAGGCUUUUCACAAGUCUAAUGACCUAUCUAAAUGUCUCAAAUCUGAAUUUCUACUCAAAUAUCACUCUUAUGCUUACAAAUCACAUCUAUAUAUCAUAAGAGGUCUUUUAAGCACAAUCAACACCUUUAAAACAUGAAACUACAAAGUGAAACCACAAAGGAUCUAUCUCAGCAAUAGCACAAUGUAAGUGUUCUAUAAAUUUUUCUUAAAGAGAAAAAUCAAAUACCAACACCAAAAUGCUCUUAACCACGAGUAAAAGCAAACCAAGAUCUACAUGUAGAUCUGAAUCUGAAAGUUAGCUACUUCUAAAUUCUAACAUCAGCAACAACAACUUCAUCAACUCCACACAUCAACAACCACUUCAAAGAACUUCAAAACACUUAAGCAAAUGUGAGUGGGCCCAUAACCUAUUAAAGAAAAGAAGUCUAAAAGCUACAAAAACUUAGCAUUACCAAGGUUUGUACACAAAGAGAAGUGUGGAGUAAGAUAAUUCUUACUUCCAACAUCUUUUACUUAUAGGUAGUGGUUUGCUAACCAAUGAGGCAACUUCCAUUCUUUUAAUCUUACAUCCAUUUCUACUUCAUCCAACUAAAUCCUCGGUGCCACCAUAGUAACUUUAUUUAACUCUUUGCUAUCUUUUGACUAUUAGCAACAUACUAUGCUUAAUCUCUAUGUGGUUGUAACUAAGCAAUUACUUGCUGAUCUUCAAUAGAUAUGAUAUUAAUAAAUGCACAUGGGAACCAACAAAGAAUCUUACAAAUGUUGCAAAGGUGAUUGAGGCUUUUCAUCAACAAGAUCCAUCAAAAUCAAGAUGAAGAAUAAUAAGUCUUUGCUAUAAAAGAAACAAGGUCUCGGAAAGAUUGCAUUCUAUCUUCUAUCAUUAUUUGUAGUUUCUAUGUAUUUGUGACAUUAAGAAAAUAGAAAACCAACAAUCAGUGGAUUCAAUUCAAGAGCCUUCAUUUACUGACUUAUUGAAUAAGACAUAGCAAUUGUUACAACCUUUAAGACAAUGUAAUCGAGAUGAAGAUCCUCAAAAAUGACAUGUUCUUCUUUGAUUAGAUGGUAAGAUACACCGCGUUUGAUAAUAUGACCUUGGAAGAGAAUUCCAAUGUUUAGUGAUUUUAUUAAAAGUAAGAAUAAUUCCUGAUGGUGUUUCAAAUAUUUUAUUUGAAGAAAGUUAUAAAGGCCUCAACAAUGAUCAACCAAAUAGGUAGUCUUUCCACCCUGAUAUAAGACACUCUUGAUGGUUGAGAGGUCCUAUAAACCAUCUUUGAAGAGAACAAAGAUUAAAGUAUGUGGCAAAUACAAUUUGCUACAUCUUAGAUUUCUUCAACAUAUGAUGACCGCUCCUUGUGGAACUUAACCUUAGAAAUGCGGAUAAUGUCACAAACAUACACAUAUAAACCAAUAAUUACUUAUAUGGUUAGAUAAAAGUAAAUAAAAGUAAAUUAAUUCUAGAAUAUCUUUUAUGAAAGCUUCUUAGAAGCUUCAUAGAUGUUGCUUUGAUUUUAUAUGUAUCUAUAAUUAAUUUUUUAGGUUAGAAACGUGGCCAAUAAGUUAACCAUGUGCUAUAUAUGUUGGUAGCUUGAAGAACAAGCUAACCAUAUGGCGUACACAUAAAAAAUCUUGCCUUGUAAGCUAAGGCAUGUGUCUUGCAAAGUCAAUACAUAUUAGAGGUCCUAAAGAACAUUGCUACAUAGCUCUUAAUUAGACAAUAUAUAUAAAGGCAAGAAUAAAGCCCUCUUCACUCUUAUCAAUUCUUUUCUUGCUUCUAAUCUAAAUUCAAGAGUUUCUAUUUUCUUUAUCUUUUGGCAAUAGCCAUUCUAAUAUCCUUUUAAUAUAUAUACUACUUUAUUUCUAUUUUGUCAUUUUUCUUUUUACACAAAUUUUUCAGAUUUAUGCAUCUUUUUUCCAGUUCAUGUCCUUGACAAAUUGCUAUUGUCAAAGACAAGACGACCAUAAAGUCUUGAAACAAGACUAAGGACUAGAAAGGCAUUGAGAAGAGGGAAGAAGGCUUCACUCUUGCUUCCAUAUAUACUCUCUAACAAGGAGUUAUAUUGCAAUAUUCUAUUCAACAUCCAACACGUGUUAACUUUGUUAUAUACAUGACUUAACUUGCAAUGCAAGAUAUGUAUAUAUGUGCCACAUAAUAAGCUUGUUCCACAAGCUACUAAUGCAUAUGUUUUGUGGCUAACUUGUUGAUCAAGUUUUUAGGCUAUCAAUUAACUACAAACACAUGUAAAGUCAAAGCAGUGUCUAUGAAGCUUCUAGAAAGUUAUUUUAGAAGAUAUUAUGAAAUUAAUUUAUAUGUACUUACUUCUACUUAAUCUUAUUGAUAAAUAUUAGAAAAAAUAUAUAUAUUCAUGAUAAUAUAUAAUAUUUAUUUCUUUCACAUGUAUGUAUAAGUAUAUAUUGUAGAUAGAUAAUUAUAUUAUUAAAUUCACUUGAUUUUAUAUAAAUUAGCUAUUAAAAUUAAUAUUUUCAUACUAAUUUUUUGUAACGAUAAUCACAUAAUUUCAAAAUAAGUUAAAUAUUAUCAAAGUAAUAAUUUAUUUUUAAUAGAAUAACUUGCAAAGCUUACAAUCAUAUAAUACUUGAUAAUAUAAAGAUCUUACUUAAGCAAGAAUUUUUAAUAUUUGAUAUUUUAAAAGAUAUCUCCAUUGUAAAAAAAUAAAUAUUAUAAAAUCUUAUAAUUAUAAAAUAUAAUAAUACUAUUUCAAAAAAAUGAUCAAAAAAUAUUUUAUAGCUUAGAAUUUAAAAUAAUAUAUAAUUGAUACUAUAUAAAAUUUUAUUAAUUGAUUUUAAUUUAAUCAUUUUUUAUUAUUUUUUAUAAUAAUUUAAAUUUUGAUCUAUACUAUCAAUCUAUAAAUCUUACAUUGUAAUUCCUAAACUUUACAUUUAAAAAAGAAUUAAAUAUUUAAAAGAUAUACCUAAAAAUAAAAUUAUAUAAUAAUUAUUCAUGUUGUGUUAUUUAAUAAGACAUCUCAAAGUUCAAUAAUGAAUACCAAUAUAAAUUCAAGAUUUGUAAUUUAAUUAUUUAUAUAUAUAUAUAUAUAUAUAUAAUAUAUAUAUAAUGAAAUAUUCUACAACAUAGAUUGUAGAUAUUUUUAAGUCUUUUGAUCAUAUCUUUAUUCUAUAAUAGCUACAAAUAUAUCUAAAUAACAGCCAUGUAAUUAUAUAAAAAUAGAUUGUAAUUGCAUUCGUAUGAAAACAAAUUUCCUAUAAGACAACUCAAUUACGUUUCAAAUUUGUGUAAGAAAUAGUUACAUUUUUUAUCCCACUUAGACAAAGAGUAAUUGUUGAUAAUUAAAAUAGAUUUUAUAUCUAUUCUUGUUGAGUAUGUUUUUAAGAAAUAGAUGCAAUUUUUUGUAGAAUUUUUAUUAAACCAAAGUCAAAGAUUUAAUUAGAUCCCUUUGAAAUCUGUAAUUAUAACAUCUUUUUUAAAUUAAAAUUACAUCUAAAUCUAAACAAAUUUUCAAAAAGAAAAUUCAUCUAUAUGUAACCAAAAAAAUUAUAAAAAAUACAAGUAACAAGAUUACAGAUGGUUAUAGUUUUGUUUUUUAAUCAUAAGCUGGCAAGGAAAUCAUACAGAUUAUUUUUAAAGAAUAUAAUACUUCCAAGCUAAAAAUCCAAGUUGCAAGAAAAUUCUAUGACAGUUUCUUACAAAUAUAUUUUCUUUGGAUAAGUUUAAAUAGUUACAUGGCAUAGUUGUAGAUCCAAUUUGCAUCUAAUAAAUUUAAUUAAUAUUUAUUGAAAUAAGUUCUAUAAGAAACAAUCAUAUUUUUCUUAUAUUUUGAUUGUUUAGUAAAAUUAGAGAUUAAUUAAAUUAUAUUUACUACAAAAUUUAGUAUCUAUUUUAUAAAAUGAUCAAUUAUUGAUCUCUUGGUCUAUAAAUAAUGUUUCAUAUUCAAACAAGAAAUUUAUUAAAUUUAUUUAAAAAAUUCAAAGAUUUUUUUUUUAAUAAUAUGAUAUUUUGAUGUUCUUAAUUGGAAUUUUAUGAAUUAUAUAAACCUCUAAUAUUUAAAAGAAAACACAUUAUUGCACAAUAAUUAUCUUCAAAAAAUAAAAUAAACCAAAUUUAAAUGAUAAGAAAUGUAGACAAAAUAUGAUGUUUGCUAAGUAAAAUAAUAAAUUAUUUUAUAAUAUAAUUAUUUUUUCAAAUAGCAAUAAAGUUAUUCAAUUGUAUCAAUAAAGUUAUUCAAUAGUAUACCACAAAUGUUGUUAUAACAAGUCAUUUAAUUGUUUGAUUUUCUUCUAAUUUUAGAAUAAAAUUUCAAUAUAUUUAUGUUUCUAUUUUUUAUGUUGUAAAAGAUAUUCUCCAAAUUGUAAUAUAAAGUGGAAUCCUUCAAAAAAUAAAAUGUAAUUUAGAAAUUUAUGAUAUAAAAAGCCUUUUUGGAAAAAUAAAAUUAUCUUCUAUUUUACACGUAAGGAUUUUGGUACAAAAUAAUUAAAUGCAAAUUUCAUUUCAAUUAGACAAUACAUUAUUUUAAAAUCAAAUUUGUUGAAAUUAGAGGUUUGUAAAUAUGCAAUAAAAUCUAGAGAAGCAUAUAAUCAUGGUUGUUUUAGAAUAGACAAUGGUUGAAGAAGUCCAUACAAUUAAUGUUGCAGAAUCUUUGUCUAAGAGUAUAUAUCACAAGAUUUUAUAAUAACAUCACAUUCAAUACCACCAAAAAUAUCUUUAAAAUAACAUUCAAUAAAUAACUAAAUAAAUAAGAAUGCAUAUAUAUAUAUAUAUAUAAACACAUACCAAUGUGAUUUAGUGAGACUGUUUUUCAAUUUGACGGUAACCAAAAAAACAACUUAAGCAUUAUUCCAGGAGGAAAAAAGAGUUGACAGUUUGACGAAUCGCCACGUGCCUAAUCGAGAGUUGAAAUGUAAUGUCAAUUUGUUGGUAGCCACUGGAAUCGUAGCACAUUUUUUUUGGACGAGGUCUGUGGCAAACUUCAGAGCUGAGUGCACUCGAUCCGAUGCUUAUGGACAAGGAAGUUGCAGAGUACGCGUUACCGACUGUAGCCUUCCUCGAAAAAGCUUUUGUCGCAUCUGCUGUAGCCUUCUGUGCUGGACGUACCGACGAAGCACAUUUUCGCGCUUACCAAUCCCGAGGAUUCUCUUGCUUUGGGUCAACUUCGGCGGCCUAGUCGGAUUAAGGUCCUCUCACCAGGGAAUUACCGAAUACUGGCAAUUGGGCGCCCCUUUGGGAGUAUCAACGAGAUAACCGCACCGAUGCACGGUAGUUGUGACCAAUUCUAUUCCCUGGAGGUGUGGAACCCCCAUCCCUCUCGUCAACUUGAAGGCGCAAGUUGCAACCCAAGUGCCUAUUCCUCUGCGCGCGGUUGCUUCAAAAGCCCGCUCAUCUGAAAUCUGCAGAUCUUUCAGUGAAAAGCAAUGUCGAAGGUUUUGUGAGGACAGGGGCAUGCGUGCGAGCGUUCGUCACCGGCUGCACUAAUCGGUAGGCAGAUUACGCAGGCAGUUUUGUUUUGUCUACUUCUCUUCCUGAUUGAUAUCUUCUUGAUGAUUCACUGAUGUAUUAUCUUCGCUACCUCUUCUCCUCAGAAUUCGGCAUAUAUGAGUAUGUAAGCAUCCACCGGGUGAAUUCCACAAUGCGAAUGGUAUUCGUUCCGAUGAAUCUUUCCUUAGAUGUUGAUGUUUGAGGAGUUUCUCUUGUCUGCUGGCAAUAAUUUUAUUGUAGGUUCGGAGACGCGCAGUUUUCAAACUAACGUGCCGUCAAAGGUACGCGAGUUCGUCGCUUAAUCGUGUAUUAGAUGCUGAGGGUGGAGUUUUUGGUUUUCCAAUUGCCGAAGUGGUGAGCGGUGUUGCUCAUUUUGUGGGCUGAAGAGAUCUACUUCAGCAAACAGAAAAGUGUGAGUACCAUCAUCUGACAAAUCUCGAUCAUAGGGUUGCCCUUCGGUCGUUCAAAACCUUCGCCGUUGAAGUGCAAUGCCAGAAACCUUGUGAUGUUUAUUCCGCGCUUCCUGCUACCACUUAUGUUAUCGAUGGUCUCGCUCUUUGGUCAAAUGCGGAGUCUGAAAUUUCCAAGGUAUAAAUGCUACCCUGGAAAUUCCAGACCUAGAAUUACUUGAAAGGUUGAGUCUCUGUUAGGUUUGUGGUGGUGAUUUUCUCGAAGGGUAGUGAGUCCUAAUGGGACUCUCGAUUCCAUUCCUUCAUUCAAUAUAUUUGUUCUGAUUCUUACUUGGAUUUCAGGAAGGUGUUGCUGUUACCUAUCGCUCUCGCCGUGAAACCAUGGCCGAGAAUGGUCGAAAGAAAUCGUCGGAGGUCCAAAAGCUAAGUGAUCCUAAUUUCUUGGUGGAAGUUGGAGUGGGUCCUCCGACGCCAACAUUAGUUCCGCAAAGGCCAGGGACAGGAGUAGUUGUGGGAGGCCAGUAUGCCGAUGAGGUGAAAAGGUUCAUCUGGAAGAAAGCACAUUUUAGUCUAGAUGACAACCGGAUAUUCGAUAAGAAUGGACGCUUGGUGGCCGUCUCUUACCACUGGGGAAAGAACCCGUACGAGAGCUUAGACCCUUUGAAUGUUAUUCCAGAUAAUCCAGUGGGAGAGUGGGAAUCCGUUUGCUACAUCUCAGGAUACGACGGAAUGCCUCAAUUAAAAGUAAGGCCCGCGGCCUGGUCCUUGCACGGCAGACAGUACAUUUACGACUGCAAUGGCGAGAGAAGUUACUGUAACAUAGCCAGCGUCUCGAGGCUGAAAACUAUGUCCGUCCGACGCAACUUUGCGGUCUUCGCCGGAGACGAAGACUCAGAGCCCACGUACACCGUCCUGGUUGACCUAGCGGGGCGAACGAUGCAGCUGGUGAAUGCAAAUGAGGAGCGCGUGGCGGUGUUCACGAAAUCGGUGGAGACGCUGAUUCUGAACGCUACUUUGGGGGUGGGAUCGGAGUUCACCAUCGAUGUAGCACCGGGGGUGGACUGGACGGCCAUGCUGGCCAUCUGCAUCGGGUUGAACCAAGUGGGAAAAAGCUAUCAGAAGGACGCGAUGAACAACUUCCUGGUAGACCCAGCGAAGGAUGCGGCCAUGGGCUACGCUUUGAACGAGGCCCUCUUGGUCGCAGACGGAAUUCAAUCGGGUGAAAUCGAGGUGCCCGAACUCGGUGAAAUCGAGGUGCCUGAAAUCGAGGUACCCGAAGUCGAAGUACCGGAGGAAGUAUCUAGUUUCUUUGGAACUGUUAUGGAAUCCUUACUUAGUGCGUUAGCAGAAGAAUAGAACCUGCCACUGUUGCUCCAGCCAUGUUGUGUGGCAAUUGCCUACAAUUGCUAUAGAAUGUACAUUCCCUUCCAACAAGAUAGAAAAUUUCGAGUAAACAAAUGCAAAGCAUGAAUUUCGAGCAGCGUAUGAUACGACGGUUGUUGCUAGUUGUACAAAGAAAGGCUGCAACAUAAAUUCCACGUGUACGGUAUCAUACAUUUAAUAUUGGGUUUCCAUUAUCUUUUGAAAGUAUCUCAGAAUUCUUUCGAGUAUAUUGUUUGAAAAAAUGUCUAAAAUAAGCGCAUCCUGAAGCCUUGCAAUUGCAAACCAAGAUAAUAAGUAACAAAUUGUAAAAAUCCCCAACCUAUUUACUAAAUAAACCCAUCCAUCAUUAUUUUACCCCAGCCCUCGGUAUACAAAUUCAUGAACUCGAUCAAUCUUGCAACAUCCAUCAUCAAUACCCGCACAACCAAAAUAAAUCAGUGCAAGAUCUGCAACAAAUAAAACUAUUGCGCUUCAGGAUCCUGUAUGUCAAACAUCCCAUAUUUCACAAAGUCAUUUCGAAAACUCCAAACCUCAACUGAACAACUCCCGAUAAAAACAUUCAUGUUACCACAGCACCACCCCAACAGCUCUAGAACAACAUUACUUUGAUUCGAUUCUUCAAAAUCAUAUGUUACAUAUUUACCAAGUUUGUAUGCACCACUCAGAAAACAUGGGUGGAUUCACGCGCACCACCAGGCUAGGCCACAAAAAUAUGUAUUUUCAAAUCCUCACGCAUGACACAUAAUUGAACAGUUCGUCAACAAGAAAUUACUUCAAAACAUACAUGUCAGGUCCACGCUACCGCUUAGCCAUCUCAUCCCAGCACGAAAUUGUAUACCAGCUUCCCCAGCCCCAUCGCCGUCCCAGCUCCGCUACACAAGCGAACUCCGCCACAGUAUCAUACACACGCAGCCACCCCACGGCGAUGCUAUCCACCGCCCAUGAUCCCUCCGCGCCUGCCUGCCUGCCUGCCUGCCUACCUACAUACAUUUAGUGGAACACGGGAGCUCCGCGGAUCAGCUCCGUGACAACCAGCGACAAGAAUCCCAGCAUCGCCAGCCGCCCGUUCCAUCGCUCAGCCCGCGCCGUGAACGGCCCGAAGCUGCGAGCAUCCGUCGACUCGCCGUUCAUGAUCGGCACCAGCGACGCGUACGUGAACAGCUGCACCGCGCCCACGAAGUACACCAGCCCGCUCGUGGUGGGGUUGAACAGCUGCUCCGCCACCGUCAAUCCCGUCGCCUUCUCCGCGAAGAACGCCCACACGAUGCCCAACAUCGCCAGCCGGCAGUUGAUGGUCUCGGGGGCAGCCCCGUCGAACGCGAACACGCUGAAGAAGGACUUGUCGCCGGUCUCGGGCCGCCUCUCGAUCUCGGGGCGGGGGGUGAACCCCACAGCCUGGUCGAACCCCGGGGUGGGCUUGGCGCCGAAAUACGAGCGCUGCUCCGACUCGUUGGUCUCCAUGUUCUUCAGGAUCUCGCCCUCCGUGAUGUCCUUCUUCGUGCUCUCAUUGAUGGUUUCCCGCAGGCCCUUGCCCGCCUCGCAUCGAACUCGUCCGGCCAGCGACGCGCCCAGUCUGGGUCGGUCCACCACGCGGGAAGCAGCGCUGGACAGCCUCGUGGAGGAGGGGGCCAGGGCCAUGAGGCCGCCGGCCAUGGUUGCAGCGGCAGACAUCUGAGACAUCGCGGCGGCCAUCGUCCUGUUCUACUCACGAAUAUGAGAGGCAAUCAAUCGGCCUCCUAAAUCUCUUCUGGAUUGAUGAUAAUGCGAGAUAUCCGAUUGAAGGCUCAAUUUCUUAGUUGGUCGAAUGGUUGUCGAUCCGGUUUAUUUCGCCGCGCGGUGGAAGGUUGAUGGAUGUUGCGAUGAUGACAAUUGGGGGCGGAGCGCCUGGGCUUAUGUGCAAGGGCCUGUGGGAGAAUCUGAGGAAGCCCUGGUGGGGUUGCCGCAGAUGGCAAUGCGGAAGGUGCGCCCAGCUGCAAGCUGCAGGGCGCGACAGAGAAGGAUGGAGAUGAGGGGCACAAGAGGAUGGCAUGUGGCGAUGAAUCGGAAACAUUCGCAAAAGUGAGGGCGUUGGGCGAGGAAUACCACCACGUCUGCGGAAAUGUGGAGAAAAGCGCAUCGAGGCGACUGCCUCUGGAUGAUAGAGAGCCAAGGCAGACGCCAGGAGGAGGCAGAGCGUCGAUGCCUGCGUGGUGCACUCAGACUGGACUCCCUCCAAAUUUCGGUUGUUCCGGAGGCACCACGGAGGCAUCCAGGCACGGCCUGUUCCUCGCGUCUGGAUUGGCCGCAAGAGUGUGCCUCCAUCAGGCGCUCAUAGGCUGGCUGCGGAGCUCAUGUGCGUUUGCUUUCCCCUCGCGUGACCAGAUCUCUCGUGCUCAACAGUGUUGACCACCAGCAACACACACAACCUCUCUUUCGAGGUGCAGGUCGCUUCGUUCGGUUUAUUCUUAGCUCACCAGUGAUAUGUAUACGAGAAUGGAUAUGUUUUCAUUGUUCGGGCUUUUAAUCUUUCUAUGCCAAUAUGAGAAGUUCUAGAAUUUAAACCAUUUAGUUUUAAAAUAGUCUCUAAAAAGAAGUAAAAUUGGUCUUUGUAGGAGUGGUUGCGAUUUAUUUGAAGCUCUUUUUUUUUCUUUCUUUUUUCUUUCUUAUUUUUAUUUAUUUAUUUAUUUUUGUUGUCUGCACAUCAAGAUUAGAUUUGUGGGUUUUAGGCAUUUUCAUGGUAUAUAUAUUUUAUAGUUAGAAUACAAGCAAUGAUUUAUAUUCUGUAUUGAUAUAGCUAGUAGAAGUGAUUUAUAUAUGUAUGUAUGUAUGUAUUUAUACAUAAAAGAAUGGUAUACAUGAUCCGAGUUUUAGAUUUGGAGAAUUAGUGAUUUUUAUGUAAAAGAUGAAAAAAUGAAAAAAGAAAAAAUAUAUUUAGUUUAAGUUUUCUCAAAUUUAGGUUUUUAAUAGAUUUUUUUUUUUUUUUUUUUUUUGGUUUUAUAUUUUUGUUUUGGAUACAGUUGUACUUAAGAAUUUACAAGUAUUUUUUUUCUUUUUAUAUUUAUAUCCUUAGUUUAUAUCAAAAACCUUGACUUGUUAUUUCAUUUUAUUUUAUCUUUUAUGUUUACCACGAUUUAGUUUUUUAUGUGGAAGUAAAUAUCAAAGUUUUUGGUUUUGGAAUGAUAUAUUAGUUUUUUGGGUAUCUUGAUUACGAUCUAAUUGUUCCAGAACGUUAUAAGAAGACUUAUUUGAUGAAUUUUAAUUCUUUUGAAGAUUAUUUGAUCCAGUACGUAAUUUUUUAAUGCUGGUAGAAGAGAUCUAUGUAUAAAUAUAACAUCAAAUCAGACUACACAAGUAAUGUUUUUGGAAUGCAUCAAGUAAUAAACGUAAAAUUUAUUGGAAAGAUAAAUGAUUAAUUAGACUUUAUUUUUUUAUUAUGUAUUUCUUCUAUUUGAAAUUGAUGUAUUAUACUUAGAAUAUUUUUGUAAUGGAAACAUACAAAAUAAAAUUAUUAAAUUAGAAACUAAGGUAACCAGUGGCAUUUUUUUCUAAGAGUACAUGUAUGUAUGUAUAUAUAUAUAUAUAUAUAUAGAGAGAGAGAGAGAGAGAGAGAGAGAGAGAGAUUUUCAAAAAAAACUGAGAUUUCUAAAUAAGUUACAUAGUGUUUUUAAAAAUUGACAACAUAUAUAAUAGUAUUGUUAAAAGGAUCAUUAUAUUAUUAACCAUUUAAGUAUAAUGGUUUUUAACUAACAAAGCAUACAUAUUCUUUCAAAAUUUUACUUCAAAUAAAAUUAUGUUUCUACUUCAAAUUGUAAUUUUAGAAUCUAAAUUCUUCAAUACUACUAGCUAUGUAAAAAGUUUGAUGUUGUUAAAUGCUAUUAGAUAUUUGUUUAAAUUUGAUCUUAAAAUAUUUUGUAUAUAGACUUAUUGAAUUAUUUUUUUCUUAUUAAUUUGGUUUAGCCAACAUUUUAUUAAUUUGAAUUCAAAGAGGCACACUACCAAAUACAAAAGUUAAAAUAAACAAAAUUGUUUACUAUUUGGUUUAGAUUAAUUAGUUAUCUUGAUAACUUGGGACUUAUAAGUAACACCAAUUGGUAUUAAUUACAAUUGAUGUAAUCACACCUUUAACAUUUGCCCUACAUUAGACUUAAUUUGAUUGGCAUUAAUGACCAAUUUAGGCAACAAGGUUAAUUUUUUCUUAUCUUUUCAUGAACCUCUUCAAGUUAACGAAAAGUCCAAUUGAAAAAAAAUCCCAACUUUAAAUUGUAAUAUAAAUCAAUGCAAAUAUUCUUCCAAUAUUUAUCAUUAGUCUAAAAGGUUUUUAAUAGUACAAAAGUAGAACACAAAAUAGAAUGUACACUUUAGUUAUAAACCCACUUCUUUUUUUAUUACAAUAAUUUCAAUUCAAUGUGACAUACAAAUUGGACAUAUCACAAUAAGAUUUGAAGUCUAAUUUAACUUUUUUGGUAAUGCUCCCAAUAUUUAUUAAGUCCAAUAAGAGAGCUUAACAACAACACCAUGUCAACUGGAUAACCACUUAUCCUAGACUUGGCAAUAUAAUUCUCUCCAUUUCUUGUCUUUUGUAGACUCAUCAAGUAAAUUUACUUGCUUUUUGGUAUAACCUUCAAAACUCAAAACACUCAAGAAUACUUAUUAAAAAAUAUUGCUUUAUUUCUAAAAUACCCAAUAUUUCUUAAGUUGAUGACAUCUUUCAAAUUGGAGUGUAUUUUUCUACUAGAAUUACACUUACUUUAUAAUGUGUUUGAUUAUAAGCACGAAUUAUUUUGUAAUAAAAAAUCUUUUUGUACAACAUAUUAAGUAAGAAGGUCUUUAGCAUUAGAGACUAAUUUAAUAAAAAUAAAUAUUAAUCUAAAUAUAAUAAUUAAUAUCAAUACUUGUAGCUAAGUGCAUUAAUAGUGAACUCAUCUUAUUGCUAAAAUAGAUGUUUUGUAGUUUCUUUUUGUUGUUGUGUAUUGACAUAGCUAUGUGGUAAAAUAUAAUCAAGAGAGAUCUUAAACUAAUACUUUACUAUCUUAGUUUAAGAAGAAUUCAAGACAUUUAACAAGGUUUUAUGAAAGCCUACUAAGGUUUUAUUUUGCUUGUCUUUAUAUCUAGUACGUUAAAGUAGAUUAGCAAAGUAUUCUUUAAGGCUCUAUUUUAGAAUAAAAAUCCUUAUACCACCUUGAACAAGUCAAAAAACUAUAAAGAUGAGGUGAUUAGAUAAUUAGAACAAAUGAUUGACUCUAAAGUAAUGUUAAGUAUAGGAUCAUGCUAAAAGAAUCCUAGGAUAAGUUGAAUUGAUACUUGGGAGACAAUUAUUUCUAAGUCAUAGUCAAAAUUAGACUUGUAGCUACUAAAACAAUAGCCUAGGGCAAAAUAAGGAUGCAUUUUGGAGAUUGGCUUAGAAGAUUGGCAAAAUUACCUUAAGCUUGUUUUAAAUACAAAAGAUUGGUUUCAAUUUGCUUUGGAUUGACUUUGAAAGAACUAUUCAAAGUCAGGGUUUGUAUUGGCAAUUCAGGUUUUACAAAAUAUAAUUAGAGCUAGCUUUCUUGGAUGGUUUAUGCAAUUAAAAAACUACAUAUGGUUGGAAUUUUUUGAGUAUAUGACUUAUUAUAUAUAAUAAACAUGUGUUAAAAUUUAUGCUAUUGUAACAAUGCAAAUAAAAGAUCUCAUAUCAUAGAUACAAAGAGGUACCAAAUUUAAUAACUUUUAGGAUUGGUUACGAUUCUUGCAAUAUUUGAAUAUCUGCUAAAUAAACUAAGAUGAAUCUUAGCAGGCUAUUAGAAGUCUUAAUGGCUUAGCUAUAAAUGAAUUUUGAACCAAAAUAAAUAAUUAGAAAUUAAAAAAUUGAUAUUAGAACUUCUUUCAAGUUGGAAUUUGAAGGACAUUAGUGUGGUAUUUUUGGCUUUUUUCACACAAUAUAUGAAUAUGAUUGAGCUAAAUUUUUGUAAUUUUAUAGAAUGCUUAUAGUGGUAUAAGUGUGCAAAAAUUCACACUUGUUAAAUAGUGUAUUUCAAAGCUAUAGCUAUAUAAAGUUUAGUGACUAGAGUUCUAAUUUUAAAGGAAAAUUUGAUAUUGCAAACAAAUAAACAUAACAAAGUAAUAAGAGUUUCUACAUGGUUAUGAUAAAAAAGAAGAGUGUAUUUGAACACAUUAUAUUUUUAUUAAAAUAUCUUGAACUAGAAAUACAUAACAUUGCUCUUAAUUAGUCCAAACCUAUAAGAGUUUCUUAGGUAGUUGCAAAAUUUAACUCUACCUUCCAUAAUCAAAUGCCCAAUGUAUUUUGAAACAAGACAACACAUAAUAUAAUAAUUAUUAUAAUAACUUCUUAUGAAAGUUAUUAAACUUAUAACUCAAUGUUGUGUAAUUUUGUUUUUUGUAUCAAUUUGACGAGAUAAAAGCAAGCUCUUUGUUUUUAAAAAUAAAAAUAAAAACAAAAAUAUUACUUUAAUUGAUCUAAAGUAUGAAGGAGCAUCCAUCAUCUCAACUUAUAAAACCUCUUUUGUAACACAAUGUACAUAUUCAACAUUUGUUACUCAUUUGCAAAACUUUGUUUCUUACUUUGAAAUGUUAGAAUACUUUGAUAAUAAGGUUGUAUCCAAAAAGAAAACUUUAAUGAAAUUUGAAGUCUUUUUAAAUCAUGAAAACAUUUAAAAAUUUAUUUUAGACAUCAUUGGUUGCAUUGCACAACUUUGAAAAUCUAAAUAUUAAUACACUUUGAUUCAUAUCUUUAAUUAUUUUAUACUUGAUUCACAUUUAGAGUUUAUAAUUUCUAAUAUAAGUUAUAUGGGUGAAGUAACAAAUUUAUAUUGUAGUGUUAUCUUCUAUAAAAGACAUUUAUUUUCAUUUAUAUUUCUAUGAACUUUUAAAUUCAAACCUUUCUUUCAACACAAAUUCUCUUCUUUCCCUUCUUUUAUUAACAAAUAAGGUUGUUUAAAUCUCUAAUGUCUUGUCUGGUAUAUAUAUAACUAUUCUUGAACUCAUUUUCUAUCAUUUAGAAAAACGCUUUCAAAUAGAUAUUAAAAGUUGUAAUCCACUAAGGUGCCACAUUGACCAUCUUCUUGUGUGUGUUAAAGUCAUUACACUAUGUAUCUUCCAGUUUUUGAAAUAUCUUCAAUACUAUUCUUAAAACACAUGGAAUUCGUGAGGAAACUUGAUGUUAAACACAACAUCUACAAAUAAGUGUGUCUCAGACCUGACAAAAGAGUAAGCACAGCAAAUAAAAUAACCUUGGUCUCAAACCCAAAGAAUCAAUCGCACUCUGAACCCAUCCACUCACUUCAGAUUGUGAUAUUUUGACAUAGAUUCAAAUUUUCAAACUGGACAAGAUACUAACUCAAUAAAGAAAAGUGAAACCCAUACAACAGAGCCAAUAUUGUGACAGAAUCCUGCGAGCAGUGUUAAAGAUGGAAACCACAAAGAGAGGGGGCAAUUCUGUGGCUGCAGCGCAGCCGUCGUCGAUGGCCAGGAGGGUACGUGACGGACGACGCGGUGGAAGAGCUACAGCCGAAGGUUCAAUCCACGGACACCGUCGCGCCCCAUCGUAGCGCUGCACAUCCCACCCCAUCGCCUGCUCACGCGAAAUCUGGAAACGUGGUGAACUCUGUUGAGCCAAACCGUCGCUUUACACUACACAGAGCCGUUCACUGCCACAUGCCACACGAUUUACCUCUCGCAUUCCCCUCCUGACCACAACCAUGCUCUGUCGAGCCCUGCAGCUUGCAUCUGGCUGCUUCCUCUGCAUGCCCAUCUACGGCGCUCGCAUUCUGGAACAAACGGGCUCAGGCAAAUGAACCUCGUGUAUAAAUGACGCGGUUUCAUGAUCCAUCAACCUUCCACCGCGCGGCGAAAUAAACCGGAUCGACAACCAUUCACGUUAUUAUUCAGUAGCCUGUCUUUGCUGUGCAGCGCACUCUUUCCUCCGCGCGAUUUAGGAGGCCGAUUGAUUGCCUCUCGUAUUCGUGAGUAGAACAGGACGAUGGCCGCCGCGAUGUCUCAGAUGUCUGCCGCUGCAACCAUGGCCGGCGGCCUCAUGGCCCUGGCCCCCUCCUCCACGAGGCUGUCCAGCGCUGCUUCCCGCGUGGUGGACCGACCCAGACUGGGCGCGUCGCUGGCCGGACGAGUUCGAUGCGAGGCGGGCAAGGGCCUGCGGGAAACCAUCAAUGAGAGCACGAAGAAGGACAUCACGGAGGGCGAGAUCCUGAAGAACAUGGAGACCAACGAGUCGGAGCAGCGCUCGUAUUUCGGCGCCAAGCCCACCCCGGGGUUCGACCAGGCUGUGGGGUUCACCCCCCGCCCCGAGAUCGAGAGGCGGCCCGAGACCGGCGACAAGUCCUUCUUCAGCGUGUUCGCGUUCGACGGGGCUGCCCCCGAGACCAUCAACUGCCGGCUGGCGAUGUUGGGCAUCGUGUGGGCGUUCUUCGCGGAGAAGGCGACGGGAUUGACGGUGGCGGAGCAGCUGUUCAACCCCACCACGAGCGGGCUGGUGUACUUCGUGGGCGCGGUGCAGCUGUUCACGUACGCGUCGCUGGUGCCGAUCAUGAACGGCGAGUCGACGGAUGCUCGCAGCUUCGGGCCGUUCACGGCGCGGGCUGAGCGAUGGAACGGGCGGCUGGCGAUGCUGGGAUUCUUGUCGCUGGUUGUCACGGAGCUGAUCCGCGGAGCUCCCGUGUUCCACUAAAUGUAUGUAGGUAGGCAGGCAGGCAGGCAGGCAGGCGCGGAGGGAUCAUGGGCGGUGGAUAGCAUCGCCGUGGGGUGGCUGCGUGUGUAUGAUACUGUGGCGGAGUUCGCUUGUGUAGCGGAGCUGGGACGGCGAUGGGGCUGGGGAAGCUGGUAUACAAUUUCGUGCUGGGAUGAGAUGGCUAAGCGGUAGGCCUGCGAGAGGCGGGCAGGAUCAGUUGUGAAGGACCAUGCAGGAUGUACAGUGUAUUGUUGAGAUGGCGUUGAGCGUGAGUAAUUGGAGAUGAAUUGAGAAACAUCGUUUGUUUGGGGGUGUGUGAUGUGGGAUGUGCAUGCAGUGGUUUGAGGGCAGGGAUCGUUGUCUGAAUGAGAUGUUUUGUUACAAGAAUGAUUGGAUUUCAGCAGACGUCAUGAGAAUGGGAUGCUUUGUUAUAAGAAUGUUAAGAUUGUAGCUAUCGCAGAGGUGCAUUUUGUGCAACAUGAUAUUCGUUUCAGGGAGGUGAUUUGUGGAAUGUGAUGCGGGCAAAGUAAAGGUGCUGUUCCGGUAGUGGAACAGAAUUGUGAAUGGGUUUUUCGUCGAGAGACCGCUUCUCAAAAUGAGGGUAUCCAUCGAUUUAGAUACUUGAUGUUGCAGUGAUUUCAAAAGCGCUUGAGUAUUUGUUUCACCGGGUGCAUGUUAGUAUUGUCAUGAAGAGUUGGAUGACGGGUUUAUAGUUAUGUAAAACGCCGUUGCAGUAGUGAUCUUCUAAUGCAAAUGGUGUGAAUUUGUUACUGCAAUGGAAGUAAAAAAUUGAAAACAGUGUUGCAAUUGUCCAGGUGGUGAUGUAGGAGCGGUGUAGUUGUGGUUGAGAUUGUUGGUCAUGAGAAUUAUGUAUAUUUUGCGCUAUAUUUCUUUUGCUUGAGAUAACCAAGUAAGGGUGCAACUUUUUGCAGCAGCAUGGGCUAUAAUUGCUAGUGUAAUGGCAUGGACUUUGAAGAGAACUUUAAGGAAGUUUGUGUGAAAUGCUUUCUAUAGUUGUUAGUUGUGAUUACAACUUUUUGUAUGCUAUAGCAUUUAGAAUAGACAUCGGGGGUAAAUGGAAUGUUCUUUAAUAAAUCAUGACAUUAGAGCAUUGUGAGUAAAAAUAUAAUUUUAGAUUUUAAUUAUAUGGUUAGUAAUUGGUAUCAAAUAAACAUAUAUUUGUUUUAUAAAUUUAUAACAAUAAGGUGUUUUAUACUAAAGUGAAUUGGGUGAUAUUUUUUCUUUGAUGAUAUCUCAAAAUAUUGUGACAUAUUUCC
rnacentral:lncRNA from 1 species